UAAACAUUUCAGAUGUAGCUGCAUAGAGUUGAGCUUAAAGUUAGAAACUGGUUCUGUAUGUUGUCCAUGCAUAUUUUUCCUCUUUGACUCUGUUGUCUUUUCUCUUUGUUUCAUUUGUCCGUCAACUCAUGUCACAUGACUUGAGUUGACCAACAAUAAAAUCAGAAGACCUGCUCCACCUGCUGUUCUACUGGUUGUAAGAGAUUGUUGGAAAGGUUGGAUCUCCUCAACCUACAAACCUCCUUCUUCAACACCACUAGUUAGGUGGAGGAAGAUAAGAGACCCCAGUUGAGAAAAAAACACAUCAUCACUUUGCCGCUCAAGAAGACCUUUAAUAAGGCUGCAGCUCCAACAAUGAGCUUUUUAGACAUAGACUUGGUAAAACAAAGAUUUUUACACCGUCGACAUGCAAGAUUAAAGGAUUUCUCAAACUUUCACAACAGAAUUGAGGCAACACUCCAGUGCAGCUACAUUGAAUGAAUAUCAGUCAGAUGACAGACAUUGAAACAUUUUACAAACUGCUGGUUGCUUCUGUUCUCUGUGAUUGUCGAUGACGAAGAGAAGAUUGUGAAAGACUUGGAACAGUGGUCCAUCAUGUACCACAAUCAUUUCUCUAUUCAAAGAUUCAAGGAUGGCCUUUCAACCCUGGAUUUCAUUUUUGCUUUGGAGCUUCAAUUUCUAAGUCCACCAUGUUUUCUAGUCUUGUGUAGUUUUCCACACAGGAUUCACCAAGUCAGUGGAUGCACUGGGCCACUGUCUCUGGAGGUCCUCAAACUGUCCCUAAAGACGGUCAUGGCCACAUUGACUGCUGUUGGACUCGGUCAUAAAUUCCCAGUUUCUCCUGGGAAUCUGGGAACCCACAGCCUAUUCUGCCAAACUGAGGAGUAAAAUAUGUACAAGACACAUAGCUUGGUUAUUUAUUGACAUUUGUUCAUUCAACUGUGACUUGAAACUGUAAUAACUAUUGUUGAAAAAUGUUGUAAUGCUUAAUUGUAUUUAUGU